CAGGCAUGGGGGGAGCUAUACAUGCAGUCGAGCGGACAGAAGGGAGCUUGCUCCCGGAUGUUAGCGGCGGACGGGUGAGUAACACGUGGGUAACCUGCCUGUAAGACUGGGAUAACUCCGGGAAACCGGAGCUAAUACCGGAUAGUUCCUUGAACCGCAUGGUUCAAGGAUGAAAGACGGUUUCGGCUGUCACUUACAGAUGGACCCGCGGCGCAUUAGCUAGUUGGUGAGGUAACGGCUCACCAAGGCGACGAUGCGUAGCCGACCUGAGAGGGUGAUCGGCCACACUGGGACUGAGACACGGCCCAGACUCCUACGGGAGGCAGCAGUAGGGAAUCUUCCGCAAUGGACGAAAGUCUGACGGAGCAACGCCGCGUGAGUGAUGAAGGUUUUCGGAUCGUAAAGCUCUGUUGUUAGGGAAGAACAAGUGCAAGAGUAACUGCUUGCACCUUGACGGUACCUAACCAGAAAGCCACGGCUAACUACGUGCCAGCAGCCGCGGUAAUACGUAGGUGGCAAGCGUUGUCCGGAAUUAUUGGGCGUAAAGGGCUCGCAGGCGGUUUCUUAAGUCUGAUGUGAAAGCCCCCGGCUCAACCGGGGAGGGUCAUUGGAAACUGGGAAACUUGAGUGCAGAAGAGGAGAGUGGAAUUCCACGUGUAGCGGUGAAAUGCGUAGAGAUGUGGAGGAACACCAGUGGCGAAGGCGACUCUCUGGUCUGUAACUGACGCUGAGGAGCGAAAGCGUGUGGAGCGAACAGGAUUAGAUACCCUGGUAGUCCACGCCGUAAACGAUGAGUGCUAAGUGUUAGGGGGUUUCCGCCCCUUAGUGCUGCAGCUAACGCAUUAAGCACUCCGCCUGGGGAGUACGGUCGCAAGACUGAAACUCAAGGAAUUGACGGGGGCCCGCACAAGCGGUGGAGCAUGUGGUUUAUUUCGAAGCAACGCGAGAACCUUACCAGUCUUGACAUCCUCUGACACCCUAGAGAUAGGGCUUUCCCUUCGGGGACAGAGUGACAGGUGUGCAUGCUUGUCGUCAGCUCGUGUCGUGGAUGUUGGGUUAAGUCCCGCAACGACGCAACCUUGAUCUAGUUGCCAGCAUUUCAGUGGCACUCUAAGUGACUGCCGGUGACAAA
rnacentral:rRNA from 1 species